rnacentral:tRNA from 2 species
GGGCCUGUAGCUCAGUGGUUAGAGCAGGGGACUCAUAAUCCUUUGGUCGUGGGUUCGAACCCCACCGGGCCCA